CAAAAACAUGUCCUUUUGUUUUAAAUAUAAGGUCUAACCUGCCCAAUGAUUAAUAAUUGAAUGGCCGCGGUAUAUUAACUGUGCUAAGGUAGCAUAAUCAUUUGUCUUUUAAUUAAAGGCUGGAAUGAAUGGUUGGACGAAGUACAAGCUUUCUUUAAUUUAGUUUAUGAACUUAAUUUUUUAGUCAAAAAGCUAAAAUUUAUUUGAGGGACGAGAAGACCCUAUAGAUCUUUAUAAUUGUGAUUUUUAUAUAAAUUAGGGAAUUAAGUUAUAUUAUAAUUAUAAUUAUUUGGUUGGGGUGACUGUAGAAUAACAUUAACUUCUAUUUUUAUUUAUCAUAAAUUAGUGUUUUAUUGAUCCAAUUUUGUUGAUUAAAAGAUUAAGUUACCUUAGGGAUAACAGCGUAAUUCUUUCGGAGAGCUCGUAUCAAUGAAGGAGCUUGCGACCUCGAUGUUGGAUUAAAAUAAGUGCUAGGUGCAGGAGCUUAGUAACUAGGUCUGUUCGACCUUUAAUUUUUUACAUGAUCUGAG
rnacentral:rRNA from 1 species